UGCUGGGUUCAAGUGACUAAAUCUUAUACAAACCAAGGUUCCACGCUGACUUCAUGAAAUAAAUUAGUAAGCUUUCCUUAAUAUUUACACAUGGAAACAUAUGUAUAAAAUUAUCUCUCUAAAAAUUUUUGGUAGGAUUCUUAUCUGAUGUUACUGAAACUAAGACUUUUUUCUUUUGGGUGAGAGUAGUUAACAUGUUUGAUGAAAUUUUCAGUCUUUAAUGUUUAUUGGUUUAUUCAGGUUUUGUAUUCACAUUUGAGCCAGUUUUAAUAUUUUAUAUAUUUGGGGGAAAUUUAUUCAUUUUUUGUAG
rnacentral:lncRNA from 10 species